rnacentral:rRNA from 1 species
UACGGAGGAUGCAAGCGUUAUCCGGAAUGAUUGGGCGUAAAGCGUCCGCAGGUGGCUGUGUAAGUCUGCUGUCAAAGAGCGAAGCUCAACUUCGUAAAGGCAGUGGAAACUACACGGCUAGAGUGCGUUCGGGGCAGAGGGAAUUCCUGGUGUAGCGGUGAAAUGCGUAGAGAUCAGGAAGAACAUCGGUGGCGAAGGCGCUCUGCUGGACCAUAACUGACACUCAGGGACGAAAGCUAGGGGAGCGAAUGGG